UCCUGGUUAACCCAGGCAGUCUCGUCAGAGUGCCCAACUUAAUGCUGGCAACAGACGAUAGGGGUUGCGCUCGUUGCGAGACUUAACCCAACAUCUCACGACACGAGCUGACGACAGCCAUGCAGCACCUGUGUUCCGAUUCCCUUUCGGGCACACCCAGCUCUCACCAGGCUUCCGGACAUGUCAAGGGUAGGUAAGGUUGUUCGCGUUGCAUCGAAUUAAUCCACAUCAUCCACCGCUUGUGCGGGUCCCCGUCAAUUCCUUUGAGUUUUAACCUUGCGGCCGUACUCCCCAGGCGGUCAACUUCACGCGUUAGCUUCGUUACCAAGGGAAUCAAUCCCCCGACAACCAGUUGACAUAGUUUAGGGCGUGGACUAC
rnacentral:misc_RNA from 1 species